rnacentral:lncRNA from 1 species
AGGGGAUGGCACAAUUGCACACCAGCCUGUUUUACAUCUUAGUGGACAAUCACAUUUUCGAAGAGGAUUAUGCAUUCAUCUGGCUAUUUCUGACUUUAAUCACACUGUCUCCUGAAGCGUAACUUUAAAAUGUUUGGGAACUCUCAAAGUUCACAUCCGGUUCAGGUGCAUCCAUCUGGAGAAAGAGCCACCUAAAUGCAGGUCCUGUAGUUCUGUAUUCUUUUUGGAUUCACCUUUCAUCCCAAGAUGAUCCUGAAGUGAAAGGUUUUGGAUUGGAUCUUGUGGGCACCGAGCUAUCUACCAUAUUAUCUGCACUCAGCAUCCAGGUGGGCUGGCGGUUUCGCUAUCGGAGCCCUGUGAGUUGUGGCAAACGGGCAAAUCCAAACAACAAAACUUUCGGCUGCGCUCUGACAGGAUUUUCUGUGAAAACCCACCCUUCGGCCUGCCUUAUCCUCUCCUUGAAACAUGUGGGGUGUGAGAUGGUGUGGGAAAGGCGGAAAAAAUAUAUACAUAUGUCAGUACCUGAGGCCAGCAUCUUGGCAUUGGUGCCAUGGGGGCCCGGAGAGACAGUUGAGCCCCGAGUGACAGUUGAAACACCUGUUGCUGUCUGUAACGGCCACGCCCGGGGCGGGCUUCUCCACACCGCCGGCCCCAGAUUUUAA